rnacentral:rRNA from 1 species
UACGGAGGGGGCAAGCGUUGUUCGGAAUCACUUGGUGUAAAGGGUGCGUAGGCGGUCCGUUAAGUCUGAUGUGAAAGCCCUGGGCUCAACUCAGGAAUUGCAUUGGAAACUGGCGGGCUGGAGUACGGGAGAGGGAAGCGGAAUUCCUGGUGUAGCGGUGAAAUGCGUAGAUACCAGGAGGAACACCGGUGGCGAAGGCGGUUUCCUGGCCCAGUACUGACGCUGAGGCACGAAAGCGUGGGGAGCGAACGGG